rnacentral:rRNA from 1 species
ACAAGCGGUGGAGCAUGUGGUUUAAUUCGACGCAACGCGAAGAACCUUACCUGGGCUUGACAUCCCGAUCGCACCUUAUGGAAACAUAGGGGUCAGUUCGGCUGGAUCGGUGACAGGUGCUGCAUGGCUGUCGUCAGCUCGUGUCGUGAGAUGUUGGGUUAAGUCCCGCAACGAGCGCAACCCUUGUCCUUAGUUGCCAGCAUUCAGUUGGGCACUCUAAGGAGACUGCCGGUGUCAAACCGGAGGAAGGUGGGGAUGACGUCAAGUCCUCAUGGCCCUUAUGUCCAGGGCUACACACGUGCUACAAUGGCCGGUACAAAGGGGCGCAAGACCGCGAGGUGGAGCAAAUCCCAAAAAACCGGUCUCAGUUCGGAUUGGAGUCUGCAACUCGACUCCAUGAAGUUGGAAUCGCUAGUAAUCGCGUAUCAGCAUGACGCGGUGAAUACGUUCCCGGGCCUU